rnacentral:tRNA from 1 species
UACCGUGUAGCUCUGUUGGUAGAGCGUCGAUCUAGUAAUUCGAAGGUCGCGGGUUCAAGACUCAGCCGCGGCAG